AUUCUUUCUGACUUUCCACUGCCUGGGAGGUGAUAGGGAAGAGCUAAGACUUCCAUUCUCUAGUCCCCUGAAGUUGGUAUUUUGCCUCAUACUGUGUGGGAAGUGGACAGUUUGUCUUCCGUGUCUCCCACCACUUUUCUUUGCACUAAAAAAGAUCAUUGAGAAAUGGCUUUUUUUUUUCUUUUAUACACAUCAUCUUCCUAGAAUCCAAAGGCUGCUAGAGAAGGGAGAGAAACAUGCAAGUGCAUCCCAUGCUGAUUGUUGCUGAAAUACCUGGAAAGAAGCUGGCAAAGACUAUCUGAGGGAUGCUAAGACAUCUCCGAACUUAUAAAACCGUGGAAUGUGAAUAGGAAUUUGAAGUUGUCUGUACUCUCCUCAGCGAUACCCUGGCAUUUUAAGGUGUAAAAAAGCCGAGGAACAUCAACAUUUGGCUUCAGAAAUGUUGCUAAAUCGUGAAUAAACAAGAAUGAACAAGCAAGAUUUUCCUCUCUGGGGAAGUUAGCUGUCAUGUUGUGAGGAUACUCAAGCAGUUUAUAGAGAGGCUUGUGUGGCAAAGAACGGAGGCCACCUGCCCACAGCCAUGUAAAGGAACCAGCUAGAAAACAGAUUCUCCAGCCCCAGUUAGACCUUCAGAUGAUUGCAGCCCCUACCAACAGCCUGACUGCAGUGGAAGGAAAGACCCUGAAUCAGAGAACCACCCGGGUAAGAGAGCCCUGGAUUCCUGACCUAGAGAAGCUCUGAGUUAAUAUUUGUUGUUUAAAGCCACGGCUUUGUGGGACAAUGUGUUAAACAUAACUAACACAUGUGAUUAGGGAAGCUCUUAGUAAGAGCAGAGACCAGAAUGAAAAAGGGGAAUGAGUCAGGUAAAUAUAUGUAUAAAGAACGCUUGAAGUAGAGGGGAUAGAACUGGCAUAGGUCUUGUGGUUAGAACAAGCUUCAUAUUUUUCAAGGGAAAUUGUAGGACUUGGAAACGGGCAAGACAUAACUGAGUAUCCAUUCAGUAGAGAGCUGAGCAUUGUCUAGGAUAUCUUCUGGGGACACCUGAUUAUACUGAAAUGUUUCUCUUU